rnacentral:rRNA from 1 species
UACGAAGGGGGCUAGCGUUGUUCGGAAUUACUGGGCGUAAAGGGAGCGUAGGUGGACAGUUUAGUCAGAGGUGAAAGCCCAGGGCUCAACCUUGGAAUUGCCUUUGAUACUGGCUGUCUUGAGUACGGAAGAGGUAUGUGGAACUCCGAGUGUAGAGGUGAAAUUCGUAGAUAUUCGGAAGAACACCAGUGGCGAAGGCGACAUACUGGUCCGUUACUGACACUGAGGCUCGAAAGCGUGGGGAGCAAACAGGG